rnacentral:lncRNA from 1 species
GUUGAAUAGCUGAAUCCUGAAGCUAAAACACCUUUGCAUCUACCUCUAGUGAAUGAUUCCUUGUAAGGUGCUUAUGAGAGCUUUCAAAGGACAAAGAGAUGGGGGCUUCAAGAAGUUUGCAGAACAGGCGGUGUGAGUUUUUGUGCCUGUGUGGUGAUGUUCAUAUUUGUGUGUGAUACUGUCCGAGACUUGCUUUCAUUACAUCACCCUGCCUGGAACUGCUUGCAUGACAAAGACCUUCAGUUCUCACUUCCUUCUAACAACUGGAGGCUACAGACAUAUUUCCACAUAAUUAGUCACAAAUAAAUUUACUUAGGUCAGUUUGCAACAGGUACCUUGAGGAAGUCACGAAGUUUGACACUAGGCACACACCUCAUACCUCUGAAAACCCUGGAAAGAAAGCUGAAUGGCAAAGAACUGACAGGAAGAACUGAAGUUUACCAAAAAAAAAAAAACACAGUGAGGAAGGCAGUCAAAUGCUUCAGUCCCUGAGACAACGACACGACAAGGACAAACAACAGGAAUGAAAUACCUUAAAAACUCCCAUCUCCAGGAAUUAAAGCAGCCUCUGAGUUGGAAAUCUUGUGAUGAGCUGGAUAACAACAGACUCAAACAUUGUACAAAUGAAUAUACUUACCAGAGCUACCAAGAAGGUUCACGAAAGGUCUUCAAAGGAAACAGGGCUUCCUUUCACACAGACACUGAGAGCUCCUCUCCACCCCUCCCCACAGAUGCAGAAUGCUCAGGAGCAGCGCCAGCUGCACCAUGCGCUCAUUUCUCUUUACUCUCUCCUGCUAUUAUUACCUAUAAACAUGACACAGUGUGCGUGGAUAUGCGUUAAGGACAAAGGUACUUCGGUACUUUUAUUGCUUUGGAGCAAAACAUGGCGAAACCAAAAUGCACCCAAGAAUUCCUCAGUCCCAUUGUUAGGACCAAACUGAAGCCAGGACAGGCUCUAAGGGGCAGGUUAGGCCUGAGGUUUAGUCUCUAGGAAAGCUGAGGCACUGGGAACUCCCAC